CUGAGCAAAAACUGGAGCAAAGAGCAUAAAACACAUCAUAUCCCAGUUUAAAUACAUUAAACAUUUGAGAAAUUACAUUAACUUGAAAAAUAACAAGUGCAAGAUAAUUUAGGUAUUUAUCCUUCAUGAUAUAUGUUAAUUUCUGUACAUAUAAAAGGAUUAUGUCAGAAGGCGGAGCUUAACACAGGCCUGUGAAACACAUUAGUUCAGUGAUCAGCAUCACAUACAGCAUCACUCAGGCAAGCAGCAACUACCAUCAUGUUCACUUGUGUACUUAUAUUGCUGACUUUAACAGAAGGUAACAGAGCUAAAGAGGUCAUCACUCCAUACAGUGAUGCAGCAUUUGCCUCUGAGACCGAGAGUGUCAAACUCUCUUGUAACUACAGCGGUUCUGUUGAUAGUCUUCACUGGUAUCGACAGUAUGCAGGUUCACCACCACAGUUCCUCAUACUGGAUUAUUCAGGAUACGUUAAUCAUGCUAAACCUCCAGUUCCUGGAAUAUCCAUCAGUCACAGAAAAGAAGCAAACAGUGUGGAUCUGGAGAUCUCCUCUGCUGCAGUAUCAGACUCUGCUCUGUAUUACUGUGCUCUGAGGCCCACAGUCACAGGAAACACUCGACACAUCAUACAAAAACCUGACUGUUAGUUUUACAGUGAGAUGUUGUCAAAAUCAACAAAUCUCCAUACAGGUUAAGUUUGAUUCCGAUGCAACAUUCAAAUCAUAUAAAUACAUACAUUUUCUGGCUGGUUAGUAUUUCUGUAACUUCAUGUAUUGAUAAAUUCUAAUUAUUGUAUGAGAGUAUUUCAAUGAACAUUGAUGGAAUAAUAAACUAUAUUUUGUGUGUGUCAUUAUAUUUGAAGAAAUAUAAAUAAAUAAGGUCAGCGUUUAUCUUCAUCAUCUUAUUCAGAUUUACAAAAGUUUUAUUCUUGUUAGACUUGUGGAUGUUGUGAACUA